AAGUCGUAACAAGGUUUCCGUAGGUGAACCUGCGGAAGGAUCAUUAUCGUAGGGGCCUCGCCCCCUUCGAGAUAGCACCCUUUGUUUAUGAGCACCUCUCGUUUCCUCGGCAGGCUCGCCUGCCAACGGGGACCCACCACAAACCCAUUGUAGUGCAAGAAGUACACGUCUGAACAAAACAAAACAAACUAUUUACAACUUUCAACAACGGAUCUCUUGGUUCUG
rnacentral:misc_RNA from 1 species